rnacentral:rRNA from 1 species
CCUACGGGAGGCUGCAGUGAGGAAUAUUGGUCAAUGGACGAGAGCCUGAACCAGCCAAGCAGCGUGAAGGAUGACUGCCCUAUGGGUUGUAAACUUCUUUUAUAUGGGAAUAAAAUGUUCCACGUGUGGGAUUUUGUAUGUACCAUAUGAAUAAGGAUCGGCCAACUCCGUGCCAGCAGCCGCGGUAAUACGGAGGAUCCGAGCGUUAUCCGGAUUUAUUGGGUUUAAAGGGAGCGUAGGUGGAUGGUUAAGUCAGUUGUGAAAGUUUGCGGCUCAACCGUAAAAUUGCAGUUGACACUGGCAGUCUUGAGUACAGUAGAGGUGGGCGGAAGUCGUGGUGUAGCGGUGAAAUGCUUAGAUAUCACGAAGAACUCCGAUGGCGAAGGCAGCUCACUGGACUGCAACUGACACUGAGGCUCGAAAGUGUGGGUAUCAAACGGGAUUAGAUACCCGUGUAGUC